CAAAUUCCAAACAGAAAAACAAGUUGCAACAAUAACAAGUGAACAUAACCAUAUGAAAUUUAUUUUACAUGACCAUCAUUCUAGAUUCCAACUACAAUCCAGAAAAAUCAGAAAACAUCAUCAAUCUUUUACAAGUACUUAACCUACCUCUCAUCUCACCAUGACUCGCUCAAUUGAUAUGGUAGUCUCUCAAUCAACAUGCAAAAUAGUUUAUACUGAGAUUUAUCAUGUUGUAAUAGAAUUUAUCAAAG
rnacentral:lncRNA from 1 species